AACGAACGCUGGCGGCAGGCCUAACACAUGCAAGUCGAGCGAACCGCAAGGUUAGCGGCGGACGGGUUAGUAACGCGUGGGAACGUGCCCAAAGGUACGGAAUAGCCUCGGGAAACUGAGAGGAAUACCGUAUGUGCCCGACAGGGGACAGAUUUAUCGCCUUUGGAUCGGCCCGCGUUGGGUUAGGUAGUUGGGGGGGUAAUGGCCUACCAAGCCGACGAUCCAUAGCUGGUUUGAGAGGAUGAUCAGCAACACUGGGACUGAGACACGGCCCAGACUCCUACGGGAGGCAGCAGUGGGGAAUCUUAGACAAUGGGGGAAACCCUGAUCUAGCCAUGCCGCGUGAGCGAUGAAGGCCUUAGGGUUGUAAAGCUCUUUCACCGGGGAAGAUAAUGACGGUACCCGGAGAAGAAGCCCCGGCUAACUCCGUGCCAGCCGCCGCGGUAACAC
rnacentral:rRNA from 1 species